CUGGCUCAGAUUGAACGCUGGCGGCGUGCUUAACACAUGCAAGUCGCGCGUGAAAGGACUUCGGUCCGAGUAAAGCGGCGCACGGGUGAGUAACGCGUGGAUGAUCUACCCAUGAGUUGGGAAUAACGGUUGGAAACGAUCGCUAAUACCCGGUACGUUCCGAUUUCAACUUCGGGAGAAAGGGGGCCUCUGCUUGCAAGCUUCUGCUCAUGGAUGAGUCCGCGUCCCAUUAGCUAGUUGGUGAGGUAACGGCUCACCAAGGCAUCGAUGGGUAGCCGGUCUGAGAGGAUGACCGGCCACACUGGGACUGGAACACGGCCCAGACUCCUACGGGAGGCAGCAGUGGGGAAUAUUGCGCAAUGGGCGAAAGCCUGACGCAGCGACGCCGCGUGAGGGAUGAAGGUCUUCGGAUCGUAAACCUCUGUCAAGAGGGAAGAAACGUCAGGGUGCUAAUCAGCCCUGAUCUGACGGUACCUCUAAAGGAAGCACCGGCUAACUCCGUGCCAGCCGCGGC
rnacentral:rRNA from 1 species